CCUGGCUCCGGUCGAACGCUGGCGGCACGCUUAACACAUGCAAGUCGAACGAGAGAAGAGAAGCUUGCUUUUCUGAUCUAGUGGCGGACGGGUGAGUAACACGUGAGCAAUCUGCCUUUCAGAGGGGGAUACCGAUUGGAAACGAUCGUUAAUACCGCAUAACAUAAUUGAACCGCAUGAUUUGAUUAUCAAAGAUUUAUCGCUGAAAGAUGAGCUCGCGUCUGAUUAGCUAGUUGGUAAGGUAACGGCUUACCAAGGCGACGAUCAGUAGCCGGACUGAGAGGUUGAUCGGCCACAUUGGGACUGAGACACGGCCCAGACUCCUACGGGAGGCAGCAGUGGGGAAUAUUGCACAAUGGAGGAAACUCUGAUGCAGCGAUGCCGCGUGAGGGAAGAAGGUUUUAGGAUUGUAAACCUCUGUCUUCAGGGACGAAAAAAGACGGUACCUGAGGAGGAAGCUCCGGCUAACUACGUGCCAGCAGCCGCGGUAAUACGUAGGGAGCGAGCGUUGUCCGGAAUUACUGGGUGUAAAGGGAGCGUAGGCGGGAUCGCAAGUCAGAUGUGAAAACUAUGGGCUUAACCCAUAAACUGCAUUUGAAACUGUGGUUCUUGAGUGAAGUAGAGGUAAGCGGAAUUCCUAGUGUAGCGGUGAAAUGCGUAGAUAUUAGGAGGAACAUCAGUGGCGAAGGCGGCUUACUGGGCUUUAACUGACGCUGAGGCUCGAAAGCGUGGGGAGCAAACAGGAUUAGAUACCCUGGUAGUCCACGCCGUAAACGAUGAUUACUAGGUGUGGGGGGACUGACCCCUUCCGUGCCGCAGCAAACGCAAUAAGUAAUCCACCUGGGGAGUACGACCGCAAGGUUGAAACUCAAAGGAAUUGACGGGGGCCCGCACAAGCAGUGGAGUAUGUGGAUUAAUUCGAAGCAACGCGAAGAACCUUACCAGGUCUUGACAUCGUAUGCAUAGCUCAGAGAUGAGUGAAAUCUCUUCGGAGACAUAUAGACAGGUGGUGCAUGGUUGUCGUCAGCUCGUGUCGUGAGAUGUUGGGUUAAGUCCCGCAACGAGCGCAACCCUUACUGUUAGUUGCUACGCAAGAGCACUCUAGCAGGACUGCCGUUGACAAAACGGAGGAAGGUGGGGAUGACGUCAAAUCAUCAUGCCCUUUAUGACCUGGGCCUCACACGUACUACAAUGGCUGUCAACAGAGGGAAGCAAAGCCGCGAGGUGGAGCAAACCCCUAAAAGCAGUCUUAGUUCGGAUUGUAGGCUGCAACCCGCCUACAUGAAGUCGGAAUUGCUAGUAAUCGCAGAUCAGCAUGCUGCGGUGAAUACGUUCCCGGGCCU
rnacentral:rRNA from 1 species